GUAGUGUUAUAUAGUAUUUGCAGAAAUAAAACCAUUUUGUAUUAUCCUAAAUGCUGUUGAAAAAAAAAUGUUAAGUUUUGGAAAUUGUGCAUAGCAUUAACAGAGUUGUAAUAUUUCAAUUGAAUCAAGAAUGUGAAAAGAUAUUGUGAAUCUUAUAGCUAUAUUUUGGUGUUCAUAAAGAUGUUUUAAUUUCAAGUUUUAUAAAAUAAGUUGCAUCUCCUGAUAAAAAACUUACUUGUUUGAUGAAUGUUUUAAGACCAUUAUCUUCCAACUUAUAUUUGAGUAUACUUGGAGUACAGAAGAAUGCUGAGCACCAACCAAUUAACAUAAUCCAUUUUUCUUUUUCAGGGCAAAUAAAUGUUCUGCAUAAUGACAAGAUGUUCUUCAAAGAAUUAAUCCGCAUACUUUUCUUAUAUGUUCUCUGUUUUGGAAUGAUUGAAAAAAAAUGGGAAUAAAAAAAUAUAAUGUCAAGAUUAACUUUAAUGGCAUGAUCUCCCUGUUUAAACUUUCAUAGAAAUCUACUAAUUGGUUCAAAAAUUAUUAGUGGAAACUCAAGUUUGAACAGCUGUGAUUUAGCCAAUAAGUUGUGGGCAACUAUGAAAGUCAUAGUGAGUACCAUGAAACUUGUGGGUACUGUGUUGGGGAUCUUGCUUUAAGUCAAUUGACCAUUCAUCAAACAAUAUAAAUGCUAAUUCUUCCAUUUUACUGUAAGUACAUAUGUAAUGUUCACUAUUUCAAUUAUUAUUGUAUAUAUGACUUGAAGUUUGGAAUUUACAUUUGCUUAGAAUAUUUAUAAAAUCUCAAAAAUGAAAUUUUGGUUUAUUGUCAUAAAGUAUUUGCUUUUAGAUAUUUAUAAUUACUAUUUUGAAUACUGUUGCAUUUUGUGUGAAUUGAUUUCAAUUCAUAAUUCUGUAUAAAAUAUUAUAUAUGCAGAAUUGUUUUUGAAACUUCUUGUACCUGUUGUUAUGCACUGUUAAUAAUUCAAAAAUUGUAAUUCAUGUUUUCUUCUCUGUUUCCUAAGAAUUCAGUCCAAAUUUAAUU
rnacentral:lncRNA from 1 species